rnacentral:rRNA from 1 species
GCAAGUCGAACGGUAACAGAGAAGAGCUUGCUCUUUUGCUGACGAGUGGCGCACGGGUGCGUAACGCGUAUACAAUCUACCUUUUACAGGGGGAUAGCCUUUAGAAAUGAAGAAUAAUACCCCAUAGUAAGUAUUUAUGGCAUCAUAAGAACUUUAAAGUUUCGGCGGUAAAAGAUGAGUAUGCGUUCUAUUAGCUAGAUGGUGAGGUAACGGCUCACCAUGACUACGAUGGGUAGGGGCCCUGAGAGGGGGAUC